AAAGCCUCAAGGAUCAUGUGCAUCUUGGUUCCCUUUGCCUUUGGGUGGGACUCCUUGUGAGUGGUGUGAGAUCACCAAGCAUGCUUGAAUUGUAUAUUAUUGCUUUUCUCAUUUCUUUUAUUAAACCAAAAGCACAAAAAUAUGUCACUAACAUUUCUUGUUUGUAGCCUGAGCAAUCACAAAGCCAAGAGCUUCCAUGAGAUCCUUUGUACAAAGAUAUGGCCAAGAGGAGAUGAAAGCAAGCAUGGUAAUGGUUCCCAAAGCUCUCAUCCAUCAAAUAUGCC
rnacentral:lncRNA from 1 species